rnacentral:lncRNA from 1 species
UUCAGAAAAUUCUGCUUUCCUUUUUCUCCAGCAAAACAUUCCUGGAAUAAUGCUCUUGAGGUUCUCAUUCAUCACAUUUUUACCAUACUGGCCUAAGACUUUUAAUUCAUAAUACUGAGGGAAUGAAUAUCAUCAUUCCCUUGUUUAUAUUGUAUGCUUUACAGCUGAAUCGAUGCAUUUUUUGGUAAAGAUUCUCACCUGGAAACUGAUCUCCAGGAAUUGGCUGAAGCAAAGACUGGGGGUAAAGGUGGAGAUGGUCCUGAUGUCAGGGAGGAAUUUGCAUCAAAUACAGAGCCUGUUGAAAUGCCAGAAGCAGGUGAAGGGCAACCAUUUGCUUGAAAGAAGAUAAACUGAAACGAUUUAUGCUGUUCUUAUUUGUAUAUUUGACUGUUAAAGUUGUGUAAAUAAAGUUUCGUUUUCUACUUGCA